GACGAACGCUGGCGGCGUGCUUAACACAUGCAAGUCGAACGGUGACGGCAGAGCUUGCUCUGACUGAUCAGUGGCGAACGGGUGUGUAACACGUGCGUACCAUGUCCCUCACUUCGGGAUAACCUAGGGAAUUCGUGGCUAAUACCGGAAAUAAGACCUGUAGCCAUGGUCGGGUUUGGAAUGUUUGGGCGGUGGGGAUUGGCCUCCGUGCCUUUCAGCUUGUUGGUGAGGUACCGGCUCACCAGGGCGACGAGGGGUAGCCGGCCGGAGAGGGGGACCGGCCACACGGGGACUGAGAUACGGCCCAGACUCCUACGGGAGACAGCAGUGGGGAAUAUUGCACAAUGGGCCCAAGCCGGAUGCAGCAACGCCGCGUGAGGGAUGAAGGCCUUCGUGUUGUAAACCACAUUCAGCAGGGAAUAAGCGAAAGUGACGGUACCUACAGAAGAAGCGCCGGCUAACUACGUG
rnacentral:rRNA from 1 species